UACGAAGGGGGCUAGCGUUGUUCGGAAUUACUGGGCGUAAAGCGCACGUAGGCGGCCAUUUAAGUCAGGGGUGAAAUCCCAGAGCUCAACUCUGGAACUGCCUUUGAUACUGGGUGUCUUGAGUAUGGAAGAGGUAAGUGGAAUUGCGAGUGUAGAGGUGAAAUUCGUAGAUAUUCGCAGGAACACCAGUGGCGAAGGCGGCUUACUGGUCCAUUACUGACGCUGAGGUGCGAAAGCGUGGGGAGCAAACAGG
rnacentral:rRNA from 1 species